GACGAACGCUGGCGGCGUGCUUAACACAUGCAAGUCGAACGAAGUGGCGAACGGGUGAGUAACGCGUAAUCAACCUGCCCUUCAGAGGGGGACAACAGUUGGAAACGACUGCUAAUACCGCAUACUGAAGGAGGGGAUUGCGUCUGAUUAGCUAGUUGGAGGGGUAACGGCCCACCAAGGCGAUGAUCAGUAGCCGGUCGGAGAGAAUGAACGACCCCCUUGGGACUGAGACACGGCCCAGAGUCCUACAUAAGCCACCAAGGAUAAAUCUGCCGCAAUGGACGAAAGUCUGACGCAGCAACGCCGCGUGAGUGAUGACGGCCGUCGGGUUUUAAAUCUCUGUUAAUCGGGACGCGGUACCGGAAUAGAAAGCCACGGCUAACUACGUGCCAGCAGCCGCGGUAAUAC
rnacentral:rRNA from 1 species